UGCUGUUGCCAGAAGAGGUUGUCUGUGAUGCUAUCUACUGAGGUUAAAGACUUUUUGAAGUAAAGAGGAGCAUCUCAUCUGAAACUGAUGUCUAUCAUGGAUAUUUAACUGAAGUUCUGUGAGUAUCCCAACUUAACCAUGAAGAUGAACUGCAAACUGUAAGUCAUUAAUUUCUCAUUACUCUUGGGCACAUUGAUGUAUUUUUGCUUCCUGGUGAGUUAACCCGUUGGCUAAAGGUUGAUCUGAGUAGUAAGGAUGUUUUAUUGGUUCAUUGGUUUCUUAGGUGUUUGGUUUAGGUUGGUUUUAAUGAUUUGUUAAAAUGGUU